UUAGAAUAAAGGAGAAUGGAGAGGAUGUGUGUAUGCAAACAGUGCUAAGGUAUGAAUUUUUGUACAUAGAGAUGGCUUCUGCUGCUGGAGGUAGUGGUGAUGGUGGGGGCAAUCGUUGUUCCUCUCACAGCAAGGGGAAAACCAUAGUUGGCCCUCAUGAUAAGCUGAAGAAAAUGAGCACGUGGGAGAAAGCAAUGCUUCGUUAUUUGCAAAAAUAUCAUGAAGAUGCUGUUGCGGUGGGUCAGGAACCUCCUUUUGGUGGUCGUUAUCCUUCACCGCCAGUCCUGGGUGUUUCACAUCCACUUAGUACUACU
rnacentral:lncRNA from 1 species